rnacentral:rRNA from 1 species
UGGGGAAUAUUAGGCAAUGGGGGAAAGCCCUGACCUAGCCAUGCCGCGUGCGUGAAGAAGGUCUUAGGAUUGUAAAGCGCUUUCAGCGGGGAAGAUGAUGACGGUACCCGCAGAAGAAGCCCCGGCUAACUCCGUGCCAGCAGCCGCGGUAAUACGGAGGGGGCGUAGCGUUGUUCGGAAUUACUGGGCGUAAAGGGCGUGUAGGCGGCCAAUUAAGUCAGAGGUGAAAUCCCCGAGCUCAACUUGGGAACUGCCUUUGAUACUGGUUGGCUAGAGUUCGGGAGAGGGUAGUGGAAUUCCCAGUGUAGAGGUGAAAUUCGUAGAUAUUGGGAAGAACACCAGUGGCGAAGGCGGCUACCUGGACCGAUACUGACGCUGAGGCGCGAAAGCGUGGGGAAGCAAACAGGAUUAGAUACCCUGGUAGUCCACGCCGUAAACGAUGUCUGCUAGUCGUU